rnacentral:rRNA from 1 species
AUUGAACGCUGGCGGCAUGCUUUACACAUGCAAGUCGAACGGCAGCGCGGGCUUCGGCCUGGCGGCGAGUGGCGAACGGGUGAGUAAUGCAUCGGAACGUGCCCAGUAGUGGGGGAUAGCCCGGCGAAAGCCGGAUUAAUACCGCAUACGACCUGAGGGUGAAAGCGGGGGACCGAAAGGCCUCGCGCUAUUGGAGCGGCCGAUGUCGGAUUAGCUAGUUGGUGGGGUAAAGGCUUACCAAGGCGACGAUCCGUAGCUGGUCUGAGAGGACGACCAGCCACACUGGGACUGAGACACGGCCCAGACUCCUACGGGAGGCCGCAGUGGGGAAUUUUGGACAAUGGGGGCAACCCUGAUCCAGCAAUGCCGCGUGCGGGAAGAAGGCCUUCGGGUUGUAAACCGAUUUUGUUCGGGAAGAAAUACUCUGGGCUAAUACCCCGGGGGGAUGACGGUACCGGAAGAAUAAGCACCGGCUAACUACGUG